rnacentral:tRNA from 1 species
GCGAACAUGGUUUAAUGGUAAAACCUUAGCCUUCCAAGUUGAUGAUACGGGUUCGAAUCCCGUUGUUCGCU